UAUAUCGAUUUACUCGAAUAAAAUACUAGGUAGUAAAAUAUCUUAAUGUAAAGGGUUAAGAUUUCUCUAAUAUAGGAAUUACGAAUUGAUUAUGACCUUAAGCUAUCUACAAGUCUUGACCAAAAUACGUGCCAGCAGUCGCGGUAAUACGUAAAAGACUAGUGUUAUUCAUCUUUACCAGGUUUAAAGGGUACCUAGACGGUAAAAAUCGUCGUAAAGAUACGAUUAUACUAGAGUUAUAUAUAAGGAGGUGAGUAUUUAUGGAGUGUGAGAGUUGAAAUUUGUUCAUACCAUAAGGACUGGUAAAGGCGAAAGCAACCUUUUAUCUAAUAACUGACGUUGAGGGACGAAGGCUCGGGUCGCGAACAGGAUUAGACACCCUAGUAGUCCAAGCAGAAAUUAUGAAUGCUAUAGGUUAGAAAAUUUAGUCUAUAAAUUAAAAUGUAAGCAUUCCACCUCAAGAGUAAUGCGGCAACGCAGGAACUGAAACCAUUAGUACCGUUUACUGAAACCAGUAGUGAAGUAUGUUAUUUAAUUCGUAGGUACGCGAAAAACCUUACCACAACUUGAAUAUUAUCCUGUGCAGGAUAUUACAGGCGUUGCACGGCUGUCUUCAGUUAAUGUCGUGAGAUGGCGGUUAACUCCUUUAAAUUAACGGAAACCCUUGCUUUAAUUAUUAAUUUUGAAAUAAAGCAGUUCACCAUCUAAAUCGGAUAUGAUCACAGGGGCCAAGACAAGUCAUCAUGGCCCAAAUGGUGUGGGCGAUAGACGUGCCACAUAUUCCUAUACAAAAUGAUGCGAUAAUGCGAAUUUGAGCUAAUCUAAUAAAGUAGGAUAUAACAAGGAUUGUAGUCUGAAACUCGACUAUAUGAAUAAGGAAUUACUAGUAAUCGUGAAUAAGAACGUCACGGUGGAUUUAAUCUCAUUUGGGUACUAACUACUC
rnacentral:ncRNA from 1 species